CAGGCCUAACACAUGCAAGUCGAACGCGUGUAGCAAUACACGAGUGGCGCACGGGUGAGUAACGCGUGGAUAUCUGCCUUUUGGUUCGGAAUAACCCCGGGAAACUGGGGCUAAUACCGGAUGGUUCCUUCGGGAUAAAGAUUUAUCGCCAAAAGAUGAGUCCGCGUACGAUUAGCUAGUUGGUGAGGUAAUGGCUCACCAAGGCGACGAUCGUUAGCUGGUCUGAGAGGACGAUCAGCCACACUGGGACUGAGACACGGCCCAGACUCCUACGGGAGGCAGCAGUGGGGAAUAUUGGACAAUGGGGGCAACCCUGAUCCAGCCAUGCCGCGUGAGUGAUGAAGGCCUUCGGGUUGUAAAGCUCUUUUGGCGGGGACGAUGAUGACGGUACCCGCAGAAUAAGCCCCGGCUAACUUCGUGCCAGCAGCCGCGGUAAUACA
rnacentral:rRNA from 1 species